rnacentral:rRNA from 1 species
GACAGAGGAUGCAAGCGUUAUCCGGAAUGAUUGGGCGUAAAGCGUCUGUAGGUGGCUUUUCAAGUCCGCCGUCAAAUCCCAGGGCUCAACCCUGGACAGGCGGUGGAAACUACCAAGCUGGAGUACGGUACGGGGCAGAGGGAAAUUUCCGGUGGAGGCGGUGAAAAUGGCAUUGAGAUCGGAAAGAACACCAACGGCGAAAGCAGCUCUG